AAACMUGUCUUUUUGCUUAUAAUAUAAAGUCUGACCUGCCCUAUGAAUAAGUUAAUUUUAAAUGGCUGCGGUACUCUGACCGUGCAAAGGUAGCAUAAUAAUUAGUUUUUUAAUUGGGAACUGGUAUGAAAGGUCGAACGAGAAAAAGACUGUCUCAAUUUAAUUUAAAUUAGAAUUUUAUCUUUAAGUAAAAAAGCUUAAAUAUUUUUAAAAGACGAGAAGACCCUAUAGAGUUUUAUAUAAUUUAGUAUUUUUGAAAGUUAAAGAAUUUUAGAUUCGAUUAUAUUAAAUUAUAUUUGGUUGGGGCAAUUAAAAAAUUAAAGUAAUUUUUUUUAAAUUAUACCAUUGAUAUAUGAUUAAGUGAUCCAUAGUUAAUGAUUAAAAGAUUAAAUUACCUUAGGGAUAACAGCGUAANUUUUUUUUAGAGUUCUUAUCGAAAAAAGAGUUUGCGACCUCGAUGUUGGAUUAAAAUUUACUUUUGGCGCAGCAACUAAAAGGAUUAGGUCUGUUCGACCUUUAAAAUUUUACAUGA
rnacentral:rRNA from 1 species